ACCUGCGGAAGGAUCAUUACCACACCAAAAAAACCAUCCACGUGAAUGUAUUCUUUAUGAGGCUUGUGCUCUUUUCAGGGCUAGCCGAAGGUUUCGCAAGGAACCGAUGUAAUUUUUAAUCCCUUUAUACUAAAUGACUGAUUUAAACUAGCAUCAGAAAUGAAGCUUGUCAAUUCUAUACAACUUUCAACAGUGGAUGUCUAGGCUCGCACAUCGAUGAAGACCACAGCGAACUGUGAUACGUAAUGCGAAUUGCAGAAUUCAGUGAGUCAUCGAAACGUUGAACGCAUAUUGCACUUUCGGGUUAGUCCUGGAAGUAUGUCUGUAUCAGUGUCCGUCAAUACAAACUUGUUUUAUCUUUUGAUAAAGCAGACUGUGAAGGUCUUGUUUUGAACAAGUCCUUUGAAAAGAAAGUCCCUGUAUACGAGUUCAAGUAUAUUAUAUAAAGGACUAUGUGUGCUUCUAAUUUCAAUGUUUUAUGCGAUAUAUGGAUUGAAAGUAGACUAAAUGGCGGUAGUUUUGCUUGUGUUUCGGCACGGGUGAACAAAUAUUGCUUUUUAUGUCGACUGGAAAGAAGUAUGUUGUGUAAGAUGUAUUUAUGGAAGAGGAAAGAGCAUGUAGUUUGGUAUAUUUGACAGUAUAUGGAAGCAAAUUGGGARACCAUCUCCAAUUUGGACCUGAUAUCAGACAAGACUACCCGCUGAAUUUAAGCAUAUCAAUAAGCGGAG
rnacentral:rRNA from 1 species